CAACGCGGCACCACCCGCACGAAAGUGAAGUGUGAAGUGAAUGCAAAGUGUUUAAAAGUGCACGCAAUGUUCCCAAAUCCGUUCGACAGAAAGCAUUCGAGAAUAAGACAAGUGUUCGACAGAUUUUUGGAAAGUAGAAAAAGUGCGCGCAAGAAUGUAUUGUCGCGGAAGGACAGUAAGUGCAGCAAUUCGUCGAGUUCGUCGUGUUCGUCGGAUUCGUCGGUUUCGUCGGGCUCGUCGUGUUCGUCGUCGGUCAGCAGGGGGUUCUUCAGAUUCGCUAUACGCUCGUGAAUGAGCUUCGUCGAAUCGUUUCGUUGUCACAAAUAGAACGGUGUCCGGUACUCGAAAAUUUGGUACAUGGAAAUCGCUGCUCGAUGGGGCCUCCAAGACAAUAGAGGGUCAACGACCUUGGUUACACGAAUUUUUCAUGUGAAUUUAUAUUGUUUUGAAUUCUAGCAUGAACCAGUCUAUAGUUUAUUAUGUUAAUACACGUUAAACGUCCUUGGUUACGCGUUAAUUUUUCACGAAAAUAAGUAUUAUAAUUAUAGACUAAACCAGUGUAUUCUCGUAGUUUAGACAUGCCUAUUACCUACGCUUUAAACUAUUGUAAAACAUCCUGUAGAUUGUAUUGUAUUAAUAAGCAUACCUUACCUUAAUAAGCAUACAUGAGACGUGAUAGCCCAGUGGAUAUGACCUCUGCUUCCGAUUCCGGAGGGUGUGGGUUCGAAUCCGGUCCUGGGCAUGCACCUCCAACUUUUCAGUUGUGUGCAUUUUAAGAAAUUAAAUAUCACGUGUCUCAAACGGUGAAGGAAAACAUCGUGAGGAAACCUGCACAUCAGAUAAUUUUCUUAAUUCUCUGCGUGUGUGAAGUCUGCCAAUCCGCAUUAGGCCAGCGUGGUGGACUAUUGGCCUAACCCCUUAUUCUUAGAGGAGACUGGAGUUCAGCAGUGAGUCGAAUAUGGGUUGAUAAUGAUGAAUAAGCAUACUACAGUCCACACAACUAAUGGUUGACUUUAAAUUGUAAUCCUUGCUAGAAAAUAUAAAUAUUUGUAAAGAUACACCUAGGCAUUAAAAUUCAAAGGUUGUUGAGAGACAGGAUGUUUUUUUU